rnacentral:rRNA from 1 species
AUUGAACGCAGGCGGAAUGCUUUACACAUGCAAGUCGAACGGCAGCACGGGGGCAACCCUGGUGGCGAGUGGCGAACGGGUGAGUAAUAUAUCGGAACGUGCCCAGUCGUGGGGGAUAACGUAGCGAAAGUUACGCUAAUACCGCAUACGAUCUACGGAUGAAAGCGGGGGAUCGCAAGACCUCGCGCGAUUGGAGCGGCCGAUAUCAGAUUAGGUAGUUGGUGGGGUAAAGGCUCACCAAGCCAACGAUCUGUAGCUGGUCUGAGAGGACGACCAGCCACACUGGGACUGAGACACGGCCCAGACUCCUGCGGGAGGCAGCAGUGGGGAAUUUUGGACAAUGGGCGCAAGCCUGAUCCAGCCAUUCCGCGUGCAGGACGAAGGCCUUCGGGUUGUAAACUGCUUUUGUACGGAACGAAAAAGCCUUGGCUAAUACCCAGGGUCCAUGACGGUACCGUAAGAAUAAGCACCGGCUAACUACGUGCCAGCCGCCGCAGUAA